rnacentral:tRNA from 1 species
AUUAUUUUGGCAGAUUAGUGCAUUGAAUUUAGAAUUCAAAUAUGUAAAUUAUACAAAUAAUA